rnacentral:rRNA from 1 species
UACGGGGGGGAGCAAGCGUUGUUCGGAUUUACUGGGCGUAAAGGGCGCGUAGGCGGCCACCGCAAGUCAAUUGUGAAAUCUCCGGGCUUAACUCGGAAAGGUCAACUGAUACUGCGGGGCUAGAGUGCGGAAGGGGCAACUGGAAUUCUCGGUGUAGCGGUGAAAUGCGUAGAUAUCGAGAGGAACACCUGCGGCGAAGGCGGGUUGCUGGGCCGACACUGACGCUGAUGCGCGAAAGCGUGGGGAGCAAACAGG